UACGUAGGUGGCAAGCGUUGUCCGGAUUUACUGGGCGUAAAGAGCGCGCAGGCGGUUGUUUAAGUCGAAUGGUGAAAGCCCCCGGCUCAACUGGGGAGGGUCAUUCGAUACUGAUCGACUUGAAGGCAGGAGAGGGAAGUGGAAUUCCGGGUGUAGUGGUGGAAAUGCGUAGAGUAUCCGGAAGGAACACCAGUGGCGAAGGCG
rnacentral:rRNA from 1 species